UUUUUUUGGAAAAUGCGCUUUCAGCUGUGCCUCUUUGCUUUCUCCACCUUGCUUGCCGCCUUUUUCUCCUCUGGAGACCAUUCCGCAUCAUGUUAUUUGGAUCUCUAUUCAAGCACACAGAACCGCAUGAAAUUCUUGUAGUUGUUAGCUGGAUACAGGCUAACCUCCUCACAGAACACUAAGGCCUGUCCAUUUCCUUCUGGGAAUCAUAGCUGAAUGCAUCGAGGACAUUACAUUAUGUUCAAACAACUUCUCUGGCACUGAAAAUUAACUUUUACAGGUAGCUGUUCCUUUCCACUGACUUCGGUGAGGGUCAAAUUUCUCAUCCUGAGUGUGAAACGUUUGUGGAAGUAUGCACUGCCCUUUCGGACUCCCAGGUGAAACCAUCCACACUGUGUAGGGCUGGCUUGCCUAACAUCGCUGGAUCAAAAACUUCCAUGAUGAUUUACAGGGCUGUGGAAACUGGAUAAGUGGAAGUUUUAAUGAGGAAGUAAAUACAUUUUGAAAGACCAGAGAGUUGAGAUCGAUGAGGAACUGGCAUAGAAGAGGAGGUGACACCUGGGCUAGAUCAGCAGUGGAUCAGCUCAACUGUGACCAGGAGGCAAACAUGUUUAUGAAGAGUGCUUCCUGCUCAAGCACAUUUCCUGGGAGCUCAACCAGAGAGAGGAAGUGCAUUCCCCACAAAACACAAGGAGAGGAAGAAAGAAGAUUUGGAAGAGGAAAAGUAAACAAAUGUUAAUAUAUUUCCGCAACUAAUUAAUAAUGUAAAGUUUACGUCCUUGCAUUAAUUUCAGUGCAAUUUUUAAACACCUAAAAUUCUGAAUUAAAUUAGAAGUAAUUAAAAUGUAGAAAGAGGCACUAUCUCUUUUACCAUCCUUAUCUACAGAUCAAUGCUUAAAUCUUUGAUUCAUUUUCUACCAGAGCUCUCAAAGACACUUAAAAUUGAAAAGAUAAAUACGAAGACUGGAAAAUUAAAAAUAAGUCAGAUUGAUGUAAUUUGUAAGGAGAUUAUCAAUGGUGGUUUAUCAAAGAAGAGAGGAUCCUAGAUUUCAGCCUGGUAACAGGUGUAACAGGGAUGGAUGAGGAAAUAAGAUGUUGGGUGUAGCCUUCACAGUUUUCCUUAAAUGUUUCCUCCUGAAAUUGUUUCCAGCUGAAAAACAAACUUGCAUUUGUACAGAAUAUCCCAAGUGUUAUACUACAAGUACUUACAAAUUACAACUAUUGGCUUAUCAAAUUAAAUAAGGUGACAAAUUUGCACACACCAGUUCCCACGGAUAGGAAUAUGAAAACGAUUGUUAAAGAGUGAUCACAAAUGAUUAAUUUCAUUCUUAAAUUAGGCAAAAAAAGUAGUUCUGAAACCAAUGCCUUAAACUUAAUUAAACACCAGGCAAUACAAAGGCAGAGUUAAUGAUUUUACUGAAAAAAAUAAAUAAUACAAGACAAUAAAUAAUCUUUAUGAAGAAAUCUCAGAUUUAUUAAUGAAAGUACAUUCUAUUGAAAAUUUAAGAGAAGAAAGAAUUACAUGUGGGUAGGGAAGUGAAAGACAUCAAUUAUAAAGACAUGUAAUACUGCAAAGAUUAUUAUAAACCAAAGGGAUUUUGCAGAUGCUGGAAAUCAUGAGCCAUGCAGACAAAAUGCUGGAUAAACUCAGUAAGUCAGGCAGCAUCUGUAGAGAGUGCUGAUCGGUCAGGAUAUCAAAAGAUAUAGUGAAAAUGCAGGUGUGUGGUGUUGAGUGGGACCCGGAUUUAGCCAUGAUAGAAUGGCAGAGCAGACUCAAUGGGCUGAAUGGCCUAAUUCUGCUCCUAUGAUUUAUGGUCUUAUGGUCUAAGCCAGAAUAUGAAGGUGGGAUGAGGAGAAGGGGUACAAGCUGGUAGGUGAUA